rnacentral:rRNA from 1 species
UACGUAGGGGGCUAGCGUUGUCCGGAUUUAUUGGGCGUAAAGAGCUCGUAGGCGGUUCGGCAAGUCACGUGUGAAAUCUCCACGCUCAACGUGGAGGCGCCACGUGAGACUGCUGUGACUCGAGUCCGGUAGGGGAGCGUGGAAUUCCCGGUGUAGCGGUGAAAUGCGCAGAGAUCGGGAGGAACACCCGUAGCGAAGGCGGCGCUCUGGGCCGGUACUGACGCUGAGGAGCGAAAGCGUGGGGAGCAAACAGG